GGAGGAUAGCUCAGUGGUAUAGUGCUUUCCUACCAUGUAAGAUGCUCUGGGUUCAACCUCCAGUAUCAUCC
rnacentral:tRNA from 1 species